GGGACGGGAAGCAGCAAAGUAGGUGGUGUCCACCGGACCAUCUCCAGCCCUGCAUGAUUAAUGGCCAUGCAUCAUUGAUGCCGUCAGCUGCCCACAGCCGUAUAAUCCCCUAACCGUCCGACCCCCCAACAUGUCCUGCAGACACACAUCGAGAUCUUAGCCGGAGUCCACUUUCUAGUUUCUAGUUUCUAGUUUAACUGUCAGAGCACAUUUUCAGGGAACUUCUCCACAGCUGUGGGACAAAGUCAGGGACCAAUGAGUGGCACCAUUGGAGCUGUGCACCCAGCGGCCGCGCCGGGCCGGGGUUUGGACACCAGUGGAAGGUGGCAUCGGAGGGCCGUCCAGAAGGGCCGAGCUCUGGUUGAGACCUACGCGCUCCCCAGCUUUGUGCACCCUCCGCCCUCAGCAGGAGGAGGCAGGACCCCCGUGAGGCUGCCCUCCCUGGUAGCUACAGCCGUGGGGCCACGCAGGCGGAGCAGCAGGGCUCUUCUCAGCCACAGUGAGCCGUCCCUCCUCGUCCCAGACGACAACGUCCUGUUCGAGAGAUUCUCCUCCCACCGUCGCCCCAGCGUUGCUCCAAAGAGAACCCCGCCUCCUCCGCCUCCGUUUUGCAAGUCAUCAGUCCUGCUCUCUUGUACGACGGGCCGCCCGCCUGUGACCAGCCUGCCCCGUCAGCACCAGAACCGUCAGCAGGUCCAGAGCUGCAGCACACCGGCCUACAUUCACUUCUCCCGAGCCAUCCAGCUCGGCCCAAAGCCGAGACCAGCGAGGAACGGUUUCCACCCCCCCUCCCUGAGCCCAGAGGUGGUGCACAGUGACCUCACGGUGAGGCAGUAUCCCAACUCGCUGUUUCAGGGAGAGCCCUUAUCUGUCGUCGGGAGGCCUUGUCUCCUGAGCUACAGUGACUGCCCCCCGCCGGCCGCUGCCGCUGCCGCCGACAGUCCGGCUCGCACUCAGCUUCACGUGUUCCUGCCCACGGAGGCCGCAGGAGAGGAGGAGGGGAGCGAGUCGGUGGACGAAGGCUUCAUGGACGAGACGGACAGUAAGAUAACUUCUCUGAAGCUGCAGCACGGAGCGCCAAAGACACCCGUGAUGCCGCCCGUGUUGUAGCACCAUUUGGACAACAUGUGUAUGGACAGGGCUGUGCAUUUACAUUUAGUGCAUUACGGGUCUGUGUGCUAGAUUCCUUCAAUCAGGUGUAGGAAAAUCUGAACCUGAGAUGUUCCACUGUGGAGCGUCUAUGUGGUUUGCGGAAAGCCCUUUCCUGCUUCAACGUGGCGAUACCCUGUUUAAGAACUUGAUUGAGAGUACUGACCUCAACCCCAUCCAAUACCUCUGGGAUGAGAUGGAGCGGUCACUAUGAUUCUGCCCUCAUCCUUAAACAUCAGUGCUUGAGCUCACUCGAACCCUGGAUGGCUGUUUAUCAAGUUCUCUCUCCUGGAAGUGAACCCUAGAGGGCAGUGCAUCACUUUUUCUGCACUAGACUAGCGGGUUUUGCAGAAGUGCGAAGUCUGAAACCUGGAGAGCAGGGGCUGUUGUUGCAACACAUUGACGCUUACUGUGCUUAUUUUGCCAUGUAGUGUACGUCUCUAAACCGAGCAGAUGCAUAGAACCGAAGGGACAAAUUCAAAACAUGGAAGUUACACAGAUUGAAGCAGAUUAAAUAUAUAUAUAUGUAAAUAUUAUCCUAUCUUAAAAAGGUAUCUCUCUUUAAAAACGUCAUGUUUCAUAACUAAGAAACGGAAAAGCAUUUUUCAGUUUCCACGAAACAGAUUUUGCAAAAUGAUGGAAAAUGAGUGUAUUAUCUUCCUGAAUGUACAGACAUUUUCGUUACUGUCAUGUGUGGAACUUGUCGGUCAGCUUGCUCAUCAUAAGUGGAGUCUGGUCAUUAAAAUAUAUUUGAAUUUAAAUACAGUAUGUUGGGCCGGUGUAAAAUGGACUUCACUGCUAGACAAUGAAACUUGAUUGAGGACAAUGGAGGCUGAGCUACUUAGACUCAAUAAUAAAUAAUAAAUCAACC
ensembl:lncRNA